rnacentral:rRNA from 1 species
GAUGAACGCUGGCGGCGUGCUUAACACAUGCAAGUCGAACGGAAAGGCUCCUGCUUGCAGGGGCACUCGAGUGGCGAACGGGUGAGUAACACGUGGGUGAUCUGCCCUGCACUUCGGGAUAAGCCUGGGAAACUGGGUCUAAUACCGGAUAGGACCAUCGUUUAGUGUCGGUGGUGGAGAGUUUUUUCGGUGUGGGAUGAGCUCGCGGCCUAUCAGCUUGUUGGUGGGGUAAUGGCCUACCAAGGCGUCGACGGGUAGCCGGCCUGAGAGGGUGUACGGCCACAUUGGGACUGAGAUACGGCCCAGACUCCUACGGGAGGCAGCAGCGGGGAAUAUUGCACAAUGGGCGCAAGCCUGAUGCAGCGACGCCGCGUGGGGGAUGACGGCCUUCGGGUUGUAAACUCCUUUCGCCAGGGACGAAGCGAAAGUGACGGUACCUGGAUAAGAAGCACCGGCUAACUACGUG